rnacentral:rRNA from 1 species
UACGUAGGGUGCGAGCGUUAAUCGGAAUUACUGGGCGUAAAGCGUGCGCAGGCGGUUUUGUAAGCCAGGUGUGAAAUCCCCGGGCUCAACCUGGGAAUGGCAUUUGGGACUGCAAGGCUGGAGUGCGGCAGAGGAGACUGGAAUUCCUGGUGUAGCAGUGAAAUGCGUAGAUAUCAGGAGGAACACCAAUGGCGAAGGCAGGUCUCUGGGCUGACACUGACGCUCAUGCACGAAAGCGUGGGGAGCAAACAGG